CCCUAUCGCGGAUCGUGGAGACACUUUCCUUCAGUUCGGCUGGAUAGGUGACAGGUGCUGCAUGGCUGUCGUCAGCUCGUGUCGUGAGAUGUUGGGUUAAGUCCCGCAACGAGCGCAACCCUCGCCUUUAGUUGCCAGCAUUUAGUUGGGCACUCUAAAGGAACCGCCAGUGAUAAGCCGGAGGAAGGUGGGGAUGACGUCAAGUCCUCAUGGCCCUUACGCGUUGGGCUACACACGUGCUACAAUGGCGACUACAGUGGGCAGCCACCUCGCGAGAGGGAGCUAAUCUCCAAAAGUCGUCUCAGUUCGGAUCGUUCUCUGCAACUCGAGAGCGUGAAGGCGGAAUCGCUAGUAAUCGCGGAUCAGCAUGCCGCGGUGAAUACGUUCCCAGGCCUUGUACACACCGCCCGUCACACCAUGGGAGUUGGAUUCACUCGAAGGCGUUGAGCUAACCGUAAGGAGGCAGGCGACCACAGUGGGUUUAGCGACUGGGGUGAAGUCGUAACAAGGCAGCCGUAGGGGAACCUGCGGCUGGAUCACCUCCUUA
rnacentral:rRNA from 1 species